rnacentral:rRNA from 1 species
GAUGAACGCUGGCGGCGUGCUUAACACAUGCAAGUCGAGCGAACGGUUUUGAAACGUUUCUUCGGAUGAUAUUUAAAAUGGAAAGCGGUGGACGGGGGAGUAACGCGUAGGCAAACUGCCACAUACAAAGGGAUAGCAUUUGGAAACGAAUAUUAAUAUUUUAUGAAACUUAACUAGAGCAUGCUAGGUAGGUCAAAGAGUUUACGGUGUGGGAUGGGCCGGAGUCUGAUUAGCUAGGUGUUGAGGUAUAGGCUGACAAAGGCGACGAUCAGUAACCGACCAGAUAGGACGAGCGGCCACAUUGGAACGGAGGCACGGGCCAAACUCCUUCGGGAGGCAGCGGUAGGGAAUAGUGCACAAUGCGGGUGACCCAUAUGCAGCAUCGCCGCGUAAACGAUUAAUACCAUGGAGUCGCAAAUUUCUGUGCUAGUGUAUGAAAACUGACGGUAACCAAGGAGAAAGCCCCGGCUAACUCCGUG